CGCAGCGUACCCGCAAGGAUAUUUUAGAAGGAGUCGUCAGGAGGGCCUGCUUCUGCCCAGGUUCCCUAUCUGUUUAAUGAAAAGACUAUUCAUGAGGGUGUGUGGAUUGGGAGGCCACGCUCAAGUUCCCAGCCGAAUUCUUUCCCCGGAGUGUGCAGUUGACAAACGUCCUUAGGAUCUGAGCGAAGGCGAGCGGGAGAACAGGUGGCAGUAGGAGGAGGAAGGAAGGCGAGAAGAGAGGGAGCAAACAAGCCCGUAUCGUGGUGACCAAGGAUCCGAGAGAGGACACGCUGUCAAGUAGAAGGGUGACAAGAGAAGAACUGUGUGUUGCAAGGUCUGGAAGCCUACUCAACUUACGGGUCUGGAAACCAAGAGGCAUGAAGCAUAUCUAUCUUCAAGGACGCGUCUUCAAGGCUCCAUCUUCAAGGAUCUUAUAGCACAGUGGGGGAAGACAGACGUGCGGACACAGAUGUUCUAAAGAAAGGGACAUGCGGUUGAGGGUAUGCAUUCCUGUCGAGAGAGCUGUGUCUGAAGAGUGGAACCAGCCUCCGUUCGCUGCAGGACUUUGAGGGGGUUACUAUGCACUCCUGUAGCUUCAUUGAUGAAGUGGAGCCGAUUCUAUACCUGCUCCGGAAGGUGCAGAAUCUGAGGCUCAGAGAGGUCAAGUCACUACUCAAAGGUUGCAGAGCAAGGAAGACCCAAAAGGAAAAUUCGAGCCCAGCUGUUUCAGACCCAGUGCGGGCUUGCCAGCUUGCUGAGAGAAGACCAUGGAGGACCCCUGAGACCUUGCCGUGGAAUGUGCAUCCACACCCAUUGGGGCGUAAGAGAGUGAGUGUGCAGGAAGGAUAGGGACACGCUUUAUUCCUGCCCGGAGACAGUAUGGACAUCGUCAUCAGAGAGUUAGCUAUCAGUACUUGGGGGCUCUCAGGAAAAUGGUGAAAGGCGAUGAAAUGGACAAAAAAAAAAUUAUUGGGGGCUGUGUCUGGCCCACCCUUCUGGGUUAUAUCUCCCUUUCCAUGUCUUUGAGCCAUUUACCACCCUGAAAUUCCAAGAAAACCCAUAAUAAUGCAAGGGAUUAUUAAUCCCUAGAGUUGCAAAUUGUGUCCAGUGGAGAUGAGUUGACGGCUGCCCAAUAGAGAGUAACCAGUUUUGCCUGCCUGCCUACGUGUGCUCCUUGAUUUCCCCCUUUGAAUGGGUUGUAACGUCUUUCUGGUCCCCUCACUAAUUCAUGAGUUCAAUAAAAUAUUUGGCAUAUGCUCCUGUCAUAUUUA